rnacentral:lncRNA from 1 species
GCAUUAUUUCUUCCCCUUUUGCAGAUGAAAAACUGAGGCUUAGAAAGGACAAGUGACUUGUCCAAGGUCACACAGGAGUGUGACUCAAGAUUCAGACUCACACUGCUUAACUCUAAAGACAAAGAUGAGAGAGAGGGAAAUAUGUGCUGAAAUUCUUACGGCAUUUGUCACCUAUUCCAGUCAUCUGAGACUUAACAUAGUCUAAAAUGUGUCAGUUAUCAUUUCAAGUUUUAUAAUCACAUUAAGAUUGCAAAUUCCUUGAGGUCAAAGACCGAGUUUUCUACUUCUUUAUAUUCUUCAGAGUCCCUAACAUAGCAAUUUGUACAAAACAAGCAACUAAUAAAUAUGUACGUUAAUAAAUCUAAAAGAGGGGAGUUAAAUUAUUAUCGUGAGUUGAAGAAAAAAAUGAGCCUACUAAGAUAAAAGAGGAUGAAGAUGAGGAUUUGUCUUCCCCAUUUUCCAGGAUAUGGGUCAUUUUAAAAAGACAAAUUCUGGGUCUCUCUCAAGCUCCAAAGGAGGGAACUAUCCCAGGUUAAUUAACUUUCUGAAAUAGCUACCUUGAAAAGGAGGAGGGCAGUGGAAGCCUCCAACAGCCUCCUGAAUAUGUCCAUGGGAAAUGAUUCCAGCAAAGCUCCAAUGUAAAUCAAGCUCGGCUCCCCAAAGCCCCAGAUUCAUACAAUUUCAGAGGCUCAUCCCUUUAAUCUUUCUGCUGUCUCUUGAGGGCUUAUAACUUCCGCAGUGGCUGGAGGGCCGAAGGAGUCACAGAAGCUCAGCCCUGAUGCAAAAGUAAGCAGAAAGAGACUGUGAGCCAUCAGGAGUGAGCAAGAUAAGCAGCAGUAUCCUCUAAGCAAAAACCCCCAGGCAGACAUGCCAAGGACCAAGGUCCCAGAAAGUUUAUAGAUUCCAACAGGGUUGGAAAGAGAAGCACCCUUACAGCACAGCCUCAAAGAAAGCCGAGCAAAAGGGCCAUGCUGUUCUCAUCACAAGAGGGCUGUGUUGUCUACAGUCUCCUUUUGAGAAGUGUGUCUCCCAUAUGUGCACACGCACUGCAUGCACACAGCUGCCCUAACUGUACUCAACUCUCUCUUUUUUGUCUACAUCAAAGUACGCAGCUGUGAUUCUUUUAAACAACACUGGACUCUAGGUGACCAUCAUGCUUCCUGGGGGCAGCUGCACACAAGUCAGUAUAAAGCGGAGAAAGUAACACCAGUAGGUUAAGAUAACAGUGACACAGCAAAAGAGGAAGACCCUAUUUAAGAAGUGGUACAACC